AUACAGCGAAACUGCGAAUGGCUCAUUAUAUAAGUUAUCGUUUAUUUGAUAGUACCUUACUACUUGGAUAACCGUGGUAAUUCUAGAGCUAAUACAUGCUAAAAAUCCCGACUUCGGAAGGGAUGUAUUUAUUAGAUUAAAAACCAAUGCCCUCUGGGCUCCUUGGUGAUUCAUGAUAACUCUUCGAAUCGCACGGCCUUGCGCCGGCGAUGGUUCAUUCAAAUUUCUUCCCUAUCAACUUUCGAUGUUUGGGUCUUGGCCAAACAUGGUCGCAACGGGUAACGGAGGGUUAGGGCUCGACCCCGGAGAAGGAGCCUGAGAAACGGCUACUACAUCCAAGGAAGGCAGCAGGCGCGCAAAUUACCCAAUCCCGAUUCGGGGAGGUAGUGACAAUAAAUACUGAUACAGGGCUCUUUUGGGUCUUGUAAUUGGAAUGAGUACAAUUUAAAUCCCUUAACGAGGAACAAUUGGAGGGCAAGUCUGGUGCCAGCAGCCGCGGUAAUUCCAGCUCCAAUAGCGUAUAUUAAAGUUGUUGUGGUUAAAAAGCUCGUAGUUGAACCUUGGGCCUGGCUGGCCGGUCCGCCUCACCGCGUGUACUGGUCCGGCCGGGCCUUUCCCUCUGUGGAACCCCAUGCCCUUCACUGGGUGUGGCGGGGAAACAGGACUUUUACUUUGAAAAAAUUAGAGUGCUCCAGGCAGGCCUAUGCUCGAAUACAUUAGCAUGGAAUAAUG
rnacentral:rRNA from 1 species